UAUGUUGUUACUGAUGACAAAAUGGAGGUCAAGUUCAAUAAUGACGAUUUUGACUUUUACCGUUCAGGAGUUAUGGUUCUUGAAAGAUUGAAAAAUGGUGUUUCCAGUUGUGUCCGUGCAUUUUCUCAUGAACCAUUCAACCAAAGCUUUUGAAAUUUUUAUAUGUUGUUACUGAUGGCAAAAUAGAGGUCAAGUUCUAUAAUGACGAUUUUGACUUUUACCGUUCAGGAGUUAUGGUUCUUGAAAAAUUGUAAAAUGGUGUUUCCAUUCACGUUGUUGCAUUUACUCAUGAACCAUUCAAUCUAAGCUUUUCAAAUUUUAAUAUGUUGAUACUGAUGACAAAAUGGAGGUCAAAUUUGAUAUUGACGAUUUUCACUUUCACCAUUCAUCAGUAAUGGUUCUUGUGAUAUUGCCAGGACACAAAUAAAUAUUAAUAAAUCCGGUUUGCUGUCGUUGUGACAGCCUCUUGUUUU
rnacentral:lncRNA from 1 species